GUACUUGCUUCUGCAGUACAUAUACUAAAGUUGGAACAAUACAGAGAAGAUUAGCAUGGACCCUGUGCAAGGAUGACAUGCAGAUUCGUGAAGCAUUCCAUAAAAAA